AUGUAUAAGGAGUUAAUUGCAAACACGCAAUUGAGAAACUGGAUAGAUAUGCUCAUAUCACCUCCACCCCCCUACCCACCCCUGCUCCCAUUGUGUGUGUGAAAUUCUCAGUCUGUGGCAUGUUUGACCUGUGGCAGGACUCGCUGCUGCCAGGUGAGUCACCGCCUGUCCCGCAGUGGAGCAUGCACAGCUCGCAGCCUCUUUGCACGAUUUCAUCCAUUUUAAAUGCUCGACCCUCUUGCUUGGAGUUCUUUUUGCCUCAGAACCUCUCCUUCAGGAGCACUUCUAGUUGACUUCUGCACAAGCUAGUGAGGACCUGCCAGAAUUGUUGCCUGAGCGUGCCAGGCUGCAGGGCAGGCAGUAUAAGGCCCCCACAUACCCUGCAGUUUUCUCUGUCCAGGAUAGCAGGUAAAAAGGAGUCCCCAGAGCAGACUCAAUGGUAGGAGCCUGCACAGGAUGUGUGUGUAUGGACAUUCUGAAGGUUUGCUAUAGGAUUUCUGUCUGUCAUUUUUCCCUUCCUACCCCAACCCUGAGCCAGAGGCAUCUGACAGCCCUUUCCCAGAGGGCACUACACAAGGGCAGAGCUGGGCAGCAUCCAUGGCCAGAGAGGCAGAGGCAAGAGUAGAGCCAGGCUGUGCCUGAGGGACCCCAGCUCUAGAUUGCACCUGUUUCAUGCCUCUCCUCUGUGGCUAGGAGGCUCAAAGGACUGUAAGGCAGGAGAUCUGGGCUGGAGCUAGGGGGUCAAUGGAUGCUCAGGAAGAGCUGGGCCUUUGGCACUUGUGGUGAGAACAGUUGACAAUGGUCAUCUGCAACUGUUCACAUAAACAAUGGCUUCAAGCUAAGUUUCUUGUGAAGUUUCUCAAUAGCAAAUCUUACAGAAGGUCCUGUGUGACCCUCUCUGCAUCUGUCCCCAGGAUCUAUGCUCCCUGCCCACCCCCUUCUCCAAAGCCCAAGCGUCCUGCUGCUCAUCAGCUUUUUUUACCACUGAGCCAGGAGUGCGGCAGGCAGUAGCUGCCUGGCCCUUCAAGGCCUGACCUUCAUCCAGAGUGCUCUGGUUUGCACGAUGCAUUUCUCAGGGGUCCGCAUUUCUCAUGCUUUUCUAUAAGGUCUACACAUCCCUUCAGAGAGGGCUCCUCGCUCACCUCUGGUAGCUAUGGAUGGGACAGGAAGCUGCCAACCUUUGUGUUGGACUUAACAACCUUGCCUUUCUGGAACUUGACCUCACCCAACCCAUGGAAUACCUGCCUCAUCCCAGAGAUCAGGUAUGGACUGAAUGCAGCCAUCUGAGCAAGGGCAGAGGGAAGCCAUCAUCUAACACCUCUGGCCACCCAGGACCAGGUCUGUGUGGGGAUGUGCCUUGGAGACCAAGGCAAUAGUCCUUUCCACUACAGGCCAGGGGAUGGGACAAGAAGCAGGGAACAGGCAGGGAAAUGUUAGGAGGUCAGCCUCCAGCAGGCCCAGUCUCAACGCUCUAAAGUACUGACUUUUCAGCAAAUUUCCUUUCUGGCAAAGCCCUCUGAGUUUGAAAUUCUGACAUCUGCCACUCCUCAUCCCUCACUGUACCCACAGCAUACAUCAUCGCCCCUCUGUGAAGGUGGCUGGAGCAGGCCUCUGGUCCAUGGACUGUCCUUCCUGGCCCUUGCAUGGAUGCAGUUGUGACUCUGGGGACAAUGCAGCCAGAAGCUGAGGGACCAGCAUUCGGUGCCUUGGAAAGUAGAGAGCAACAGACACAUCUCCAAAUGGGCAAGGAGUCUCUAGCAUGCAGCCCAGGACUUCUCCAUACCCCUCUCCCCAGCAUCAUGAGCAAGGGCAUUGCCUCCUCUCUCUGCCCACUUCAGGGCCCAGUGCACUCACUUUACAGUGACAGAUCUCCCCCUACCAUCAUCCUUUUAGUCCUUGGGCAGAGCAUGUGGUCUCAGGGCCCACAGUGAAAGAAGAGCAGUGGUGGCAACUAUGCCUUGUCUUCUGGAGCCUGUAGGGAGUUUUCCAGGCAGGUCCUUUGCCAUGACAGCAUGGUCUGGCCCUGUUGGCCCCUCCCCUCUCCUGUUACCCACCCCCGUGCUGUAAAUACUUGUCAUCAUGGACUCCAACAGGGUCAGAGGGACAGGCCUAAUCAACUAAAACUCCUCGGAGAUGCCAUCUCUGUCUCCCUGGGUGCCAGCAGCCCUGCUGCCAUGUGCACUGGGGUGGCACUGGAGAGCCAUGGAAGUUGUGAGAUAUUGUGUGUGUAUGCACAUAUGUGUGUGUGUGUGUGUGUGUGUGUGUGUGUGUGUGUGUGUGUGUGUAUGUUUCUGCCUCAUUCAGUUUCCGGGGUGAAAUCAGCUCCUUCUCUCCAAAUGCACUACCCUGGAGAGUGGUGGCCACUCAAUACCUUUUCCUCUAGCUUUCAUGUCUUGGUUUUUGCUUUCCCCUUCCUCCUCCCUCUCUCCCUUUCUUUCCUUCUCUCCUUCUUUAUUUGAGGGGGGAAGAGUGCUGUACAAAGUCAAACAAACAAGUUUACAGUUGUAAGUGCAAUGACCCGAGUCCUCCACAUGACCUUGUGAAUUGUGUGCUGUCCUCCUGUGCUCUGU
ensembl:lncRNA